CCUACGGGAGGCAGCAGUGAGGAAUAUUGGUCAAUGGCCGGAAGGCUGAACCAGCCAUGCCGCGUGAAGGUCAGUGCCCUAUGGGCGUUAAACUUCUUUUGUGCGGGAGCAAUAAUGGUCACGUGUGGCCAGACGAGAGUACCGUACGAAUAAGCAUCGGCUAACUACGUGCCAGCAGCCGCGGUAAUACGUAGGGGGCAAGCGUUAUCCGGAUUUACUGGGUGUAAAGGGAGCGUAGACGGUUAUGUAAGUCUGGAGUGAAAGCCCGGGGCCCAACCCCGGGACUGCUUUGGAAACUGUGUAACUGGAGUACAGGAGGGGCAGGUGGAAUUCCUGGUGGAGCGGUGAAAUGCGUAGAUAUCAGGAGGAACACCGGCGGCGAAGGCGGCCUGCUGGACUGAAACUGACGUUGAGGCUCGAAAGCGUGGGGAGUAAACAGGAUUAGAUACCCCUGUAGUC
rnacentral:rRNA from 1 species